GGCGGUCCCUUCUGCAGAGCUUUGACUGAAAAAGCCCCAAACGGCGUGCUGAUUACCGCCGGGUGGAGUCGCAGCGCUGCCGACAACUCAACCCAGGUCAACAACUCUGCUGCUCAGAGGGGCUCGUCUGAGCGGAUCCGUUCUGCGAGUAAAUAUUGUGACACGAAUCGUGCGGAUGAUCAUUUCUAUAGCGACUGAACGCCUUCAGCGGCGCAGCAUGUCUCUGCAUCUUUUAAUCCAGUGGAGAUGCUAUCAGUGACCUCAUCCAGCAGAGGAGAAGGAGUCUGAGGAAACUUCUCACCAAAUCUCUGCAGCCAGGGUCCAACAUCUGGAGGAACGACAACGCAUUCUCAUGAACAGAGGAAUACCACUCUGUCUGCUGUCGCUGUACCUGCCUGUUGACGCCACUCUCUGCCUGCAAUCACCAGCCCUGCAUGACUCGCCUUGCCUGCCCUUGUGUUCACUACCUGCUCUGUCACCUGGGAGGAU